rnacentral:rRNA from 1 species
AGUCGAGCGAUGGAUUAAGAGCUUGCUCUUAUGAAGUUAGCGGCGGACGGGUGAGUAACACGUGGGUAACCUGCCCAUAAGACUGGGAUAACUCCGGGAAACCGGGGCUAAUACCGGAUAACAUUUUGAACCGCAUGGUUCGAAAUUGAAAGGCGGCUUCGGCUGUCACUUAUGGAUGGACCCGCGUCCCAAUAACUAAUUUGGUGAGGUAACGGCUCACCAAGGCAACGAUGCGUAGCCGACCUGAGAGGGUGAUCGGCCACACUGGGACUGAGACACGGCCCAGACUCCUACGGGAGGCAGCAGUAGGGAAUCUUCCGCAAUGGACGAAAGUCUGACGGAGCAACGCCGCGUGAGUGAUGAAGGCUUUCGGGUCGUAAAACUCUGUUGUUAGGGAAGAACAAGUGCUAGUUGAAUAAGUGGCCCUUUCGGCGGUACCUAACCAGAAAGCCCCGGCUAACUACGUGCCAGCAGCCGCGGUAAUACGUAAGUGGGCAAGCGUUAUCCGGAAUUAUUGGGCGUAAAGCGCGCGCAGGUGGUUUCUUAAGUCUGAUGUGAAAGCCCACGGCUCAACCGUGGAGGGUCAUUGGAAACUGGGAGACUUGAGUGCAGAAGGAGGAAAGUGGAAUCCAUGUGUAGCGGUGAAAUGCGUAGAAGAUAAGGAGGACACCAGUGGGGGAAGGGGGACUUUUCUGGGUCUGUAACUGACCAUGAGGCGGGGAAAGCGGUGGGGAGGCAAACCAGGAUUAGAUACCCUGGUAGUCAACGCCGUAAACGAUGAGUGGUUAGUGGUAGAGGGGUUCCGCCCUUUAGUUGUGAAGGUAACGCAAUUAAACAAUCCCCCUGGGGAGUUCGGCCGCAAGGGUGAAACUUAAAGGAAUUGACGGGGGCCCGCCCCAGCGGUGGAGCAUGGUGUUUUAUUUGGAGGAACGCGGAGGACCUUUACAGGGUCUGACCUCCUUUGACAAACCUAGAAGUAGGGGUUUUCCUUUGGGAGCAGAAUGACAGGUGGUGCCUGGUUGUCGUCAGCUCCUGUUCGGAGAUGGUGGGGUAAGUCCCGCAACGAGGGCAACCCUUGAUUUUUAUUGCCCUCCAUUAGUUGGGCCAUUUAAGGUGACUGCCGGUGAACAACCGGAGGAAGGUGGGGAUGACGUCAAAUUAUCAUGCCCCUUAUGACCUGGGGUACACAAGUGGUACAAUUGACGGUACAAAGAGGUGCAAGGCCGGGAGGUGGAAGUAAUUUCAUAAAACCGUUUUCAAUUUGGAAUGUUGGGUGCAAAUUGCCUACCAGAAAGCGGAAUUGGUUGUAAUUGGGGAUCAGCCAGCCGCGGGGAAUAAGUUCCCGGGCCUUGUACCCCCCCCCCGUCCCCCCCCGAGAGUUUGUAACCCCCGAAGUUGGUGGGGUUACCUUUUGGAGCCAGCCGCCUAAG